rnacentral:lncRNA from 1 species
UUCUAUCUGGAAACUGGAACCCUGCCUAGCCUCACAGCCCAGAUCUGAGCUUCACGGAGAGAUGAGCCUUUGGAUCAUUUCUGGUCUAAUGGGGACUCAAGGGUAUGGUUUUCUGUUUGGACUCAGGAAGCUCUUGCAAGACUCAGUGCCCUGGGCAGGGAAGGAGGUGACACAUGACCAAUGGAAAAAGCAUGACUCAACCAAGAGACGCAGCAGCCACAGGCUGAUUUGUAAGCAAAUGAGACUCUGCCUAAGGUCCCCCCAGGAAGGUGUGGUAGAGAGGGGCUUAGUAGGGGAUAAAGCUUCCCCGACAGACAGCGGAGCACCUUUGUAUCUGCUCAACAGUGCAAGUCAGAAGAGCAGGUAAGGACCUGGUACAUGGAGAAGGGAAGAGAUAGAAGAUAUACCAAGUAGAAAAGGAACAAAACUUAGGAACCUGAUAGCAGCACAGGCAUCAAAAGUGAAACUGUCAUUUAAAACUUC